GACGAACGCUGGCGGCGUGCUUAACACAUGCAAGUCGAACGGUAAGGCCCUUCGGGGUACACGAGUGGCGAACGGGUGAGUAACACGUGGGUGAUCUGCCCUGCACUUCGGGAUAAGCCGGGGAGACUGGGUCUAAUACCGGAUAGGACUCCGGACUGCAUGGUCUGGGGUGGAAAGCUUUUGCGGUGUGGGAUGGGCCCGCGGCCUAUCAGCUUGUUGGUGGGGUGAUGGCCUACCAAGGCGACGACGGGUAGCCGGCCUGAGAGGGUGACCGGCCACACUGGGACUGAGAUACGGCCCAGACUCCUACGGGAGGCAGCAGUGGGGAAUAUUGCACAAUGGGCGCAAGCCUGAUGCAGCGACGCCGCGUGAGGGAUGACGGCCUUCGGGUUGUAAACCUCUUUCAGCAUCGACGAAGCGAAAGUGACGGUAGGUGCAGAAGAAGGACCGGCCAACUACGUGCCAGCCGCCGCGGUAA
rnacentral:rRNA from 1 species